rnacentral:rRNA from 1 species
CAAUAGCGUAUAUUAAAGUUGUUGCAGUUAAAAAGCUCGUAGUUGGAUUUCUGGUAGGAGCGACCGUGCCGAACUUGAUUGUUCGAGUAUUGUGUUGUCUUCAGCCAUCCUCGUGGAGAACUUUUCUAACAUUAACUUGUUGGGAUUGGGACUCGCGUCGUUUACUGUGAAAAAAUUAGAGUGUUUAAAGCAGGCAUUAGCUUGAAUACAUUAGCAUGGAAUAAUAAGAUAGGACUUUGGUACUAUUUUGUUGGUUUGCAUACCAAAUUAAUGAUCAACAGGAACAGUUUGAGGAUAUUCGUAUGAACAUGUCAGAGGUGAAAUUCUUGGAUUUUGAUCGGACGAACUACUGCGAAAGCAUUUAUCAAGGAUGUUUUCAUUAA